AGGGUGGAAGAUUACGUGUGCUUCAGCCUGCCCUACCUGCAGGACUCUCAGACCAGCGUGAGAUUGGAGGCCAUCAGGUUCAUGGGGACUGCUGCGCAGCGCCUGGGGAGGAAUGGAUCCAAACGGACGAUGGAGGUUGUGUGGGAUGCUCUCAAGCGCUGUGAUGAUGACCCUGAUGCCUCAGUCAGGUCCCUAGCAGGUCAGACCUUGAACAUCCUGCAGGCUGGGAGGGAGCUGGAGAGAUCAAGAUGGUCCUUCCCAGGCCUGUGCUUCUGGCGCUGAUGAGAUGGGUCAAGGACAAUCUUGCUGCCCCCAUCUUCCUGACGGCGGAGGAAGUGGCUCUGCUGGGGUGAAGGUCCUGGUGGAAUGAUGAUCCCCAAGCCUGCAGAGCACACAGCAUUUGUCCUGGCCUCUCCUGCUACCUGCACAUCAGCUUAGCCCUGUGAGUGCCCUGGCCCCAGCUUGUUGGACAGCCAGGUUACCCUUCCUUAGGAUGGUGCUGCAAGGAGGCACAGGGCAGAAGGGAGUC